UUGCGCAAGUCUUUUCCGUUCCAUCUCCGGCGAGCACUAGAGAUGGAAGAGUAGGCCUCCGAAACGCGUCUCCGUCGUGCGCUUCAUCUGCUCGGGUGAGGAUGGGCGAUUACGUUUUUGGGGAGUGUCAUUGGCGACACGACUACUCGUUGGUGAUUCUGCGGCGGCGACUACACGACAACCUUCUCUGCACUGCACCGAGCGGAACGACUACAACGACAAAGCACCACCAUGGUCUUUCCCGGUGCGAGUGGUUCUACCGCAGGGUAUAAUCUCCUUCAUCCUAUUGUUAAUUUGACUGUUAAUAUCAUGAUGUUCCUAGGUAGCACUUUGCUAUUAUCCAACAUGUUUUGAUUGCAUGAUCAUGUGAAUAAUCGUUUACUGGUACCAUAUAUUACUUGUACUCAUCUUUGUUUCGAUUAUUGAGGAUACACUGCUCACAUCUGUGAUGAUUCACAUAAAUAAAAUGAUAUUAGUUGUAUGUUCUGUCUCUUUAAUUUGCUUCUGCAAAUUGAUAGUCAUCCUUUUAAUAUUUGUCAUGAAUUGUUUUUCUCAAAUAAUUCAUGUCGUAAUUAUCCGUUUUAUUGCGUCAUUUUUAUGGAUUAAAAUGAAUGUGAAAAUGCCUUAUAUUUCAACAAUCUGCCUUAUAUUUUAACAUAUGUGUGGUGGCUUAGAGUCUGUCAAUCAUAUUUUUUCCGCUCGUUUUGUUUGGAGUAUCAUAAAGGAGGUGUUCAGUUUGAAUCAUUUUCCUAGAUCACUAAAAGAAUUCUCGGAAACCUGGCUGCAGGCCAAGGGGCCCUUGCCUAUCCGUUUAAUCGUGUUCUUGUUUGCAGGCUUCACCUGGGCGAUGUAGGCCACGAGGAACAAAGAUGGCUAUUGAAAAAAGACUACCUAAAGCUCAUGCUGACAUGAUCUAUGUCGUUUUAUGCAGAUAAGGGAGCACAUUAUGCAGACCAAGUGUAACAUCAUGGAGUGGAUGAAGACCUUCAAGCCUAGUGUAGUUACAGCUUCGGACGUCUAUGAGUUUUAUAAAGCUGUAAUAGUUCUAGUACUUUUUUUCUCUCGUUGAAGACAGGUAUCUCCUGUACCGUAAUGGUUACAUUGCUUUCUUAAAGCAGAGGAAACUCCCUUUUUUUUUAAAAAAAAACAUUCAGUUGUCCGCCUCAUUUCAGUCAUGUAGCAAAAGCCUAGCUAUGACUCUACAUUCAUCAACCUUGAUAUGAACAUAUACGUGGAUCAAACAGUCAAACCACACAAGGAAGUAAACAGGCGUGGGAAUAGAGAAAGAAUGUGGAUCAAGUAAAGAAGGACCUUCUCUGUUCCUUUAUCUAAAACAAAGUAAAGCAUUGUCUUGCAGACUACGAAACUAGCACUCUAGCACUACAUCAAAAUAGAUCGCUGCACAACUAGUCACCUCUAUCCUUCAAAUUAACGAGAUCAUGAACACUAAAGACUCAUGUCCCUCCAUACUUUUCCCUUUAUUCUUUGAUAUAUCCCUC
rnacentral:lncRNA from 1 species